GUCCCCUUAGCGCAGUGGUUAGCACUUGAUGCUUGAAGCGAUUUGAUUUUCACACAGCGAAAUUUGGCUUUGGGCAGUGAGAGACGUCGAUACGAAUCCGACCGGGGACA